rnacentral:misc_RNA from 1 species
GAUGAAGAACGUAGCGAAAUGCGAUAAGUAGUGUGAAUUGCAGAAUUUAGUGAAUCAUCGAAUCUUUGAACGCACAUUGCGCCCUAUAGUAUUCUGUAGGGCAUGCCUGUUCGAGCGUUAUUGAGACCUCAAGCUCUGCUUGGAAAUGGGCGCUUGUCUUGCCUUGCAGACUCGCCUUAAAACCAUUGGCAGCUGAUUUACAAUGUUUGGUGCACAGUACAUGAGCCCAAGUGUUGCAAUGAGUGGCCCAAAAGUAUACAAUAGAAGCUUAACCUCGGAUCAGGUAGGGAUACCCGCUGAACUUAAGCAUAUCAUAGCGGAGGA